rnacentral:snoRNA from 3 species
GAGGAUGAUGAUUUUAUAUUUGUCGCCCCAGUCUUAGGGUCUACAUUGUUGGAUCUGUGCUGAUUGACAUACUUCUUAAUCUGACUC